UUCGGGAGGGUUUAAUACCGUGCGCGCGCCCGCCGCAGCGGAAGCAGCCCUCGGGCCACAGAGACGAAAGAAGACCCGAGGCCAAUGAGCACCGUGGGCGGAGGAGCCGCAGCGCCCGCGUGUGGGGCGCGGGAAGGGCCACAAGUCUGGAACCCAGGAGGGCAGAAGAAACUAGGAGGAAAAGUACGGCCAGUGCGCAGAAUAGGGCAGAGCCCUAGCCUGCCAGUGGAGAAGCGUGGGGUCCAGUGCCUGCAAGAUUUCUGGGAGGAGUGCUUGCUGAACUGAACUGAACUUCAAAAACUGGUGAGGCCUUUAAUAAGAAUGAGGGGGAACUAGGCUGACAGGGGUCCUUUAAUGAGCUAGCACAAGGAAAAAAUGAGGAGUUUCCUUUUAGAAAUAUUUAGUAGGCCCUUGGUGGAACACAGAAGUAGAACUCUCCAACAAAUAGCUGGAAAUAUGGGACUGAAGUUUAGAACAGAUGUCAGAUCUGGAGAUGAAGACAAGUGACACAAGAAAUCCCAUUCUUGAAUUUUUUCCUCCAGCUCUAUUUCAGAAUGGCAUUUUUUAUAAGAAAUCUAACUGAUUAAGAAUUGGAAAUUGAGGCAGCUAGGUGGUGCAGUGGAUGGAGCACCUGCCCUGGAGUCAGGAGAACCUGAG